GGGGGAAAAAUUAAUAAUAAAAAUUAUAAUAAAAAAAAUUUUAAUAUUAAAAUAUUUUGGGGGGUUAAAGUAUUUUUAAUAGAAAAAAUUAAUAAUUUUAUAGUUUAUUAGUAUUGUAAAAGAAAUUUGAAAUAAAGUUGAAAUAAAAAUUUAUUAAAAAGUAAAUUUAAUUUGUUGUAUCUUGUGUAUCAGAGUUUAUUAAUAAUAAUUUAUAAAUUAAAAUUCUCGAAUUUAAAAGAGUUAAUUAAUUAAAAAAUUUAUUGUUUUAUAAAUAUUUUAAAUAGUUAAUUGGAAAUGAAAUGUUAUUCGUUUUUAAAUAUAUCUAGUUUUUUUAGAAAAAAAUUAAAUUUGGAAUUAAUUAAAAAAUUAAUUUAUUAAUAAAUUAAUUUUUUAAUUAAUUUAAUAUUUUAAGGGAUAAGCUUUAAAUUAAAUUUUUAUAAUAAUUAAAAAAAAUUGAAAAUUUUAUAAUUUAUAUUGUUAAAAAAUUUUAUUUUAUUAUAAAUAAUUUCAUAAAAUUUAAAAUUUAAUAAAAUUUAAUUUUUUAUAAAAAAAAAAUUUAUAAUAAAAAUAAAUUAGUUAUAAUGAUAAAAUUAGUAUAUUAUAAAAAUUUUAUAAAAUGAAAAUAAAUUUAUUUUGAAAAUAUUUAAAAGGAACUCGACAAAUAAAUAUAUAUAUUUAUAUAUGAUAUAAAUGUAUAAUAUAUGUUCACCUGUUUAUCAAAAACAUGUCUUUUUGUAAAUAAUUUAAAGUCUAAUCUGCCCACUGAUUUAAAAAUUAAAGGGCUGCAGUAUAUUGACUGUACAAAGGUAGCAUAAUCAUUAGUCUCUUAAUUAGUGACUUGUAUGAAAGAUUGGAUGAAAUAUAAAUUGUCUCUUAAAUAUAUAAUUGAAUUUAAUUUUUUAAUUAAAAAGUUAAAAUAAUUUAAAAAGACGAGAAGACCCUAUAGAGUUUUAUAAUUAUUAUAUUUUAUUUUUUAAAUUUAUUAAUUUAUUUAAAUUAUAAUAAUUAUUUUAUUGGGGUGAUAAAAAAAUUUAAUAAACUUUUUUUUAAAAUGAACAUUAAUAAAUGAAUUUUUGAUCCAAUAAUAUUGAUUAUAAGAAAAAAUUACCUUAGGGAUAACAGCGUAAUUUUUUUUUUUAGUACAAAUAAAAAAAAAAGUUUGCGACCUCGAUGUUGGAUUAAGAUAAAAUUUAAAUGCAAAAGUUUAAAAUUUUGAUCUGUUCGAUCAUUAAAAUCUUACAUGAUCUGAGUUCAAACCGGUGUGAGCCAGGUUGGUUUCUAUCUUUUAAAAAAAUUAAUAUUUUAGUACGAAAGGAUCAAAUAUUAUAAUUAAAUUAAUUAAUUUUAUUGAAUAUUAUUAAUUUUAAUUAAAUUUUU
rnacentral:rRNA from 1 species